UGGAUGUUUUUCCUUUUCCAAACCCUACACUCAGGUGCAGACAUCCGCAGGUGGUCAGCUGGCCUUUCCCAGCCCAGCCCCUGAAUGCCUCCUCCCAGCAGUGGGCUGGACAGCAUCUGUGCCCGAAAGGAAGUUUUACGCCCCCACCCUGGGCAAUUGGCCCUACUUGCCAAAGGAGCCCCUGCCACAGGCUGAUCUAGAAGAGCCUACUGAUAGGAACCAGGCAGCAUGAAUGGCCACAUGCACCGAGGACACGGUACCAUCUGUUCCAGAAGCCCACGGAUUUGUUCUCCUCAACGUCAGGCACUGCAUGUCUAGGCUCUGCACAUACAGCAGAUCUUGCCGGGCUCUGCACCUGAGUCGGGGCUGGCUGAGGUCACCAGGAGACCUGCCCUGCACCUGCUCAGACUACCGCCUGUGGCUCCCUGAGCCUCUCCAAUGAUGGUGAGUGUGGCCUUCUUCCCAGGGAAAACUUUCUCAAAACAAGCCCUGCCCACAGAAGUUGGAAAAGACUGGCAUUUCCUGAGAAUCCCCUGGGAUCUGCUGGUGGGUCCGAGGACACUGGUAUCAGAGACUGAGGAUGUGACCGUCAUUACCAGGCUGUGUGCACACAGACUUUUCUGCCUGAAUUUUGCAGGCCCCACGGACAGUAAUGACAAAUGCUAUGAUGGAAAAGAACUGGGAGAAGUGAACCUCACUUGGGAAAGAAAAAGGCUUCCUAAGAAACAGUGGGAAGCCAGAGGGAUUCCGAGCUGGGCAGUGGUGUGGUCAGCGGUGGUAAAAGACUCUGGCACGGGACAGGGAUGGCCCGAGUCUUAGCUACUUUCUCUCUGCGGAGAACACCAGCCACAAGUGAAAGGCGGAGAGGCUUAUUUCAGCUCCCAGUUUGUAAAGAUUUCGGCCCACCGUGCGGUGGCUCCAAGGCAGAGGGGCACGGUGGAAGGGCCUGGAGGAGGAGAGCCGCUGACGGGUGGGGAGGGAGGGAAGGGACCAACACGAGCCCGCCAGGUCACGCCCCGUGACGCACCUCUUGCGACCAGCUCCUCGAAGACUACCCCACCCAAGACCCAGUCCCCUCCCGAAGCCCCAGCUGUGAGCUCGCGCGGCUGUGGAGGUACACCUCGGCCUAACCGGAGCACCGGGCAAGGAACAAGCGCUGUGGCAGGGAGGCUGGCGGCUGCACGGUCAGAGGCUAAGAGGAGGUGACGGGGCUCAGUGGCGAAAUGACCGGAAGUUUAUUUGGAACCCAGAACAGACAACGGAGGCGACAGGACAGAAGGUGACAGCCAGGGAAGGCUCUGGGAUUCCGCCACUGAACUGGAGGACCACAUCCGUGCGGAGGAUGCCGAUCUGUUCCAACCCUUCACCCCCAGCCCAGCUGUCCACUGGCUCAGCUCACCGGUUCGGUUCCUUUUUCCCUCGUGACACAGAACUGCUCUGGCGUCAGUUUCUUCUGCCACUCAGCCUCGGUGAGAGUCAGCUCACGCUUCAGAAAAGACCCUGGAUUGUUAAGUAGGAAAUCUGUGUUAUUAAAAAAAAAAAAAAAAAGCACAACGGACUCUCCUUCCCUGGCCUUUCUCCCAAGUGCACCAUCUUCCGGCGGAAUAAUCCUAUCCUUCUUCUCUCCGCCACACUUCAUUCUUCACAGGAACCUGAAGCCUCAGUUUCCACCAGGUCCCUCCUACUCCAGCAGACGAUGCCACUUGGGCGGAACCAAAACUGUCACCGGGGAAAUCUGUUUCCUGCUUCCUGACCACCACAUAUCUGCGCCUGUUCACAUCCUUCCUCCUGCACUGCUGCAGUGAAACGAUGACCACCCCUUCUGCUUCUGUGCUGUUGUUCUUCAGGAUCACAUCUCCUUUCGCCUCUUCAAGGACCAGGACCCAGUGGCAGUUCCUCCUUGCCACCCGCAUCUUGAUGUGCUGGGUCUCUCCGAGGGAGAAGACCAACCAUUCAGCCUUACACGAGACACUUAAGCUGUUCUCCACUUAACAGCUCCAGCUUCUAGGACAUGAGUGAACAUCCUCGUGUUGUACUUGAUCCUAGAGGAAAAGCAUUCAUUCUUCCACGAUUAAGUUUCAAAGUAGCUAUGUUUUUCAAGGAUACCUAUCAGAUUGAGGAAAUUCUCAUCUAUUUGGUUUUUUUGUUUUUGUUUUUUGGUACCGGGGAUCGAACUCAGGACCUUGUGCUUCCAAGGCAGGCGGCAGAACCACUGAGCUAAAUCCCCAGCCCAAUUCUCAUCUACUUGUAAUGUACUGAGUUCUUAUCAAGAGGCGAUGUUGAAUUUUUGUAAAAUGCUUUUCUGCAGCUAUUGUAGAAUCAUACUUUUGUUUUUGUUUUUAGUCUGUUGAUUGAAUUUCAAACGUUAAACCACCUUAGUAUGCCUGUAAUAAAGCCCACUUUAUCUCUUA